rnacentral:rRNA from 1 species
UACGUAGGUGGCAAGCGUUUGUCCGGAAUUAUUGGGCGUAAAGCGCGCGCAGGCGGUUCUUUUAAGUCUGAUGUGAAAGCCCACGGCUCAACCGUGGAGGGUCAUUGGAAACUGGAGAACUUGAGUACAGAAGAGGAAAGCGGAAUUCCACGUGUAGCGGUGAAAUGCGUAGAGAUGUGGAGGAACACCAGUGGCGAAGGCGGCUUUCUGGGCCCUACCUGACGCUGAGACGCGAAAGCGUGGGGAGCGAACCGG